UUCAGUAAAAUGUGAGGGACCUGGAGCACAGAGAACAAGACACUUGGAAAUCACAGAACUGGAAGAAGUGUCCUACUUUUAAAUAUGAGCAAAGAAAUAAUUGAGUACCAUAAAGUUGAAGAAAUCCUGUGAAAGAACAAUAAAAAUCAAAGUGAAUAAAUGGAAGAAGGAAAUUUGAGGAAAUAACAACUAGGAGAUCUAUAACGAGGAGAGAAGAGAAAGGAAUCCCCAAGAUGUUUGCCAAGGAAGGUCCU